CAUCAUCUGUGCCCCCCCCGCCCCCGCCUCUGGCCUCCUGGCUCUUCUGCUCCCUGUUUCCAUACUACAGAGGCACAGGGGAUUAUAAAGGCCCUUGUCUUGAGCUCCACAAGAUAGAGCAGAAGUUAGCAACAGAAAGAGGGCCUUUCAGGCUCCUAGAUGAAAACUGAAGUUCAGCGGAAAAUUAAAGGGAAUCUCUACAAUAAAGGCACACCAGACCACCGUACUUGCCACAUUGAUGAACUAGGAAAUAUCAUCAGACCACCACCACCACCAUCAUCCUCACCGAUGUCAUCCUCCUUGCAUCUUACAUGGAGAAAACCAAAGAUUGAAAGAAUUGGCCUACAAGGCCCCAAAUGCUUAAUGGUUUGGGGAAUGGAAUGCAAAACAAAUGAAAAAUCAUGGUGCUUUCAUACACACUCAGGAAAUGUGGGGGAGAUUUUUCCUUUGGGGACCUCGAAUGCUGUUCUGUUAAUAGAUGCAGGAUCGACUACCUCCAGGCACCUGCACACAGCUGGAUCCUUGAUUCAGGCUGCAGAUGGAGGCCAUUAACAAGAAAAACACGAAUUCAACACUAAACCGGAACGAGAAGUAGUCUGUGAGCUAAUUAAGUGCCAGCUGAAAUUUGAUGAGAUUUUUAAAAAGCAUACCUGCAACAAGAAAGUUUGAAAAUUAUUACAGACAACUAAAGAAUUAGAUAACUUUGAAAUUUAGAGUUCAAUUCUCAUAAUUAGCUAGGAAGUAUAGAAAUGCAUCUCUUGCAAUUGCUAUGACAAGAGUAUUAAUUUAUUAACAUGUAGAAGAGAGUUGCAACUUUACAGAAAUGGGAUGGCUAAUUACAGGAAAAAUUAAGUUAAAAUCACUCUACUUUCCAUUCUUUAGUGGAUCACUUGCUUUCUUAAAUGAUUUCCUGUAUGGUUUGGAGGAUAAAAUACAUUUCCUAAUUUUAAGUCUGAAGCACUUUUGCGAUAGCAUUUUUAAGCUCAUGAUCUUCUCUUUAAAGAAGUUAUUCUUUUUUUAAAGACACGGAUCCAUUUCUCCAGUCCUGGAGUGGACUUUCUGGUUAAGCGUGUGUGCGCUCUUCCACACUCCUGCAGCCUUUGGGUGGCUGCACCUGCUGAUCAAGGUCAAGGCAUCAGCCCUGUCUAUCAGUCAGCUUGAUGAACUUCCACCCAGCCCAUCUCUCUGCAGCAAGGUCACUCUGCUCUCAUUCUCCCUUCUUCCAGCUGUCUACACCAUUUUCUCCUGGUCUGGA
rnacentral:lncRNA from 1 species